UUGCAGUUUUUAUCAGCUUCUUUUUGUCUUGAGGAAGAGAAGUGUUUAUUAUCAUGAGUUCUUAGCUUUGUUGUGUUUGUAUGUCUUAAAUAUAGAUCCAAAUCAUCACUAAUUGCAGUUUUCCCUAAAGACAUGCUCCGCUGUGCUGAACUUGUUUUGUCAGCCCUCUGCACUGCAAUGUGCUUGUUGGCCAUAACAACUGCUGCAGCAGGAUCCUGAUAUGGAGAUGGGGGGCGGGCAGCACACAAACGGAAAGAGCAUGAGAAUCUGGCGAAGAGCACUUGGAUCCACGUGAACACACGGUGGCCAGUGAAACAUAAGCAAAAGCUGCAUGUUCAUUCAGAAGAGCCUGCUCGUGACACUAUUCCCAUUUUACCGACUUCCUGAAAUAGCAUUCCAGACACUGGCAAUCAUCCGCUGCCGUAUUUCGAUUGAGCCUCUGCGCAGUCGGCCAUACCAGCAAACAUUUGAAAUCUCGAACCUUGUCAAUCAAGUGGAAGUAAAAUGCCCUGCCUGGAAGAACAAUUACUUUAUUUUGUU